GAGACUAUGGUGUAGAGGCAGCACAAUAGGAUGUGGCCCUAUUAGCAGGGGUUCGAUUCCCCUUAGUCUCC
rnacentral:tRNA from 1 species